rnacentral:rRNA from 1 species
GUGCCAGCCGCCGCGGUAAUACGGAGGGGACUAGCGUUGUUCGGAAUUACUGGGCGUAAAGCGCACGUAGGCGGAUUGUUAAGUCAGGGGUGAAAUCCCGAGGCUCAACCUCGGAACUGCCUUUGAUACUGGCAAUCUCGAGUCCGGAAGAGGUGAGUGGAAUUCCUAGUGUAGAGGUGAAAUUCGUAGAUAUUAGGAAGAACACCAGUGGCGAAGGCGGCUCACUGGUCCGGUACUGACGCUGAGGUGCGAAAGCGUGGGGAGCAAACAGGAUUAGAAACCCGCGUAGUCC